CCGUAAACGAUGUGUGUUAGACGUUGGAAAUUUAUUUUCAGUGUCGCAGCGAAAGCGAUAAACACACCGCCUGGGGAGUACGACCGCAAGGUUAAAACUCAAAUGAAUUGACGGGGACCCGCACAAGUAGUGGAGCAUGUGGUUUAAUUCGAAGAUACGCGCAGAACCUUACCAACACUUGACAUGUUCGUCGCGACUCUAAGAGAUUAGAGUUUUCGGUUCGGCCGGACGAAACACAGGUGCUGCAUGGCUGUCGUCAGCUCGUGUCGUGAGAUGUUGGGUUAAGUCCCGCAACGAGCGCAACCCUCACUUUUAGUUGCCAUCAUUAAGUUGGGCACUCUGAGAGAACUGCCAGUGAUAAGCUGGAGGAAGGUGGGGAUGACGUCAAGUCCUCAUGGCCCUUACGUGUUGGGCUACACACGUGCUACAAUGGUAUCUACAACAGGAAGCAAGACUGCGAGGUCAAGCAAAUCCUUAAAAGAUACCUCAGUUCGGAUUGCACUCUGCAACUCGAGUGCAUGAAGCUGGAAUUACUAGUAAUCGUGGAUCAGCGUGCCACGGUGAAUGCGUUCCCGGGUCUUGUACACACCGCCCGUCACACCAUGGGAGUUGGUUCUACCUUAAGGCAAGGUUUCAAACCCUUGACCACGGUAUAGUCAGCGACUGGGGUGAAGUCGUAACAAGGUAACCGUA
rnacentral:rRNA from 1 species